UAUGCUUUCUGGUAGUACGUCAGCUGAAACUUUCUCUGAAUUCAGUUAUUCUUCCCAUACAACAGUGCUUUACGACCCGAAAGCCUUCAUCACACACGCGGCGUCGCUCCGUCACACUUGCGGGCAUUGCGAAAAAUACCCUACGGCUGCCUCCCGUAGGAGUAGGGAAAGUGCAGGAUGCGGAAGAGUGACGGAUGACGCGGAGAGAAAAAAAGGGUUGGGUCAAAGAUGUGGGAAGGGAAGAAAACUGAAGAAAGAAGUUUAGUAGAGGUCAACAAAAGGGGAGGGCAAAAUAGUGCCGCGCGGGAAAAAAAAUUUUUUUUUUUUGUUAUUCUCGUUAUUUUUUGUAAAAUCGCUCUUUCCCGGUCUCCGUUCCCCUACUUUUGGGUUUUGCUUCUCUUCCGUUUGGUUCCCGCUGGCCUGCACUGGGCCCUUUAUUAGGGCUCUCUUGGGGGCCUCUCUUGACCCCGAGAUCUUCGCUUUUUCGUUCUCCCCUAUUUUUGGAGUAAAACAGCCACUUUUUUUCCUUCUUCCUUCCCCCCCCCCUUUUCCUCUCCCCUUNUUUCCUUUUUUUCCCUUAUAUUUUCUCUUUUUCUUCUUUUUUUUUUUUUCCUUUUUUUCGCUCUUUUUUUUUUUUUUCGCCCCGGAUNUACCUCGA
rnacentral:rRNA from 1 species